UAUAUAUAUAUAUAUAUAUAUAUAUUCCAGUUUUUAUUGGAAAAUGUUUUACAGAAAUUAAAUGUAGAACAUUCAGUAUGCGCCAAACAUUUAUUUAAAAUGUACUCUUGCAUUUUGGCUUACUUAGUGGUUCUAUUUUAUCAUGCAGGAAUUUUAAAAUGAGCUAAAUUGGUAGCACUUUCUAUAGAAAUCUAUAUAUUUUUUUUUUCAGUUUGGCAUAAUCUUAUCUCUCUAGUGUAUAAUUUGUUAACCCCAUUUGCGUGAUGCUCCUUUGUAGAAGCAAAGAAGCCUUAAGCACAAGUUAGUUUGCCCUUGCUAUAGCAGUCUAUAGCAGAUGGCCUCAGGCUAGGAGUAAUUAACUCAAUUUGUGCCUUCAAUAAGCCAGUGUAAAUUAUGUAAUUUUUUUUUUUUUUUAUUGUGGAUAUCUGUUGUAGUGGAGUUGUACUGCCAAGCAACAGAUAGAUGCUGCCAGCACUUGCAAAAUACUUGGUUUGGUUUUUUUUCCCCCUUUCCAAGAUUUCAAAACAGGACUCUUAGGAGUUAAGUAAAAGCAUAUUGCUUACACCACUUUGACUAACACAGUAGCUAACUGCCCCUUUAUGGUUUUCUAACUUAAUGCGUUAAGGAAAGGGUCAGUCUAUUACCUAAGAAGAAUUACAUGGUUAAUAUAUAUAGAUUUUGUUAUUAUAUACACUAGAUUAAAAAAAAAUAUGGCAGAGGCAUAAAUAGACAUUACAGCAUGGGGGGGGCUAAUAGUUGCCAGCUAGCUGUUCUGAGACUGCAAAUCUCCUUGGAAUUGUCAAAUAGCUGCUGAGAAAACAGGAUGCCUGCCUCUGCAUUAAGGGGAAUUACCAUUCCCAUUAUAUUUUGUUAGUCUAAAGCUAUAUUUUCUAUACUUUGUAAAUAUUGUGUGUCUAACAGUAUUUUCUUCUUCUAAUGGCAUUAUGUAGUAAGUACCUUUAACACUUACAAAAUGCUUCCCCCCCCUCCUUUUCAUCAGGGUUAAACAAUCUGUGCGCAUUUCAAAUGUAUGCAUUCAACUCUGAUUAUUACGGCUUCGUAUAGUUUCUAUGAAACAAAUUGUUGGCUUUCAUUGAACAACUAAUGUUCGAGUGCCUUUCUAUUUUUUUUUUCUCAAAUACAGCACAAAAUUCAGAAGGGAAUAUUUGAAAAUAUUUAAGUUAGCUUAAAACCAUUUUGGGGAUAUUACAAAAUAUUCAUACUCGUAUUCAUAUUUUAUUUUAAAGCAUGCUCUCUGAUUUUUGAAUUUUUUUUAAUGUAUUUUAAAAAAAAAAUUAUUUUGGUUUUGUUCCAGAGCAUUUUUUUGAUGGCUUUUAUCCACUGUUCUCAUUCCCAUAUAAAAUUGUUUUAAUAAAUAUAGCAAAAAAUUUAUAUAGCGGGGGGGGAAAAGUGCUUUUCUUACGCUAGACUACCUAGAAACAUUUACACCUGAUAUUUGAACAAAAUUUAAUUGUGAAAUCACCAUGUUUAAGCUGGAGUCCACUUUAAUCACACCUCAAAUUUUGAUUUUCUAAUAAAUUUAAGUGCCAUAUAUUUAUAAUUUAGUAUAAUAUGUUUGAGUUCAUAAUGGGAUAUAGAAUGUUAUUUUACAUUUUUAUGUUUUCUUUGUGUAUGUGUGUAAAAUAUGUAUGUAUAAAAUACAUAUAAUGCACAAACGCAAGCACCCUUUAUUACACUUUCGCGUUUUUAUUUGGAGAUUUUCUUUUUAAGACAAAAUCAAGACAAUAUGUUGAACCUCAGUAGGUCAUCAUGGCUUCAGAAAGGCUAUAGUUUUGUAUUUGUCUUACCCUUAUUCUAAGAUAUAGUAGCAGUUACUUUCUUAAUGCCUUAAGUAGCCCCACUUCCUGUUGCAUAUAUUGAGAUUCUCCUGUCCAGUAACUGACACACGCAGUGGACAGUCGUUUAGUGUGACACUUUUCAGAGUAUCACAGAACUCUGAUUCUUUUUUUCUCGGUUUAGAAUUAUUGUUUUGUUUUGUUUUUUGCAGCCUUUCUAACCAGUUUCUUUGCAACAUGCAUUUAUUUCCUGUAUUUAUAUGUCAUGUCUCACUCCUCUUGUGUUGAGUAUAUUCAGUUUAGCCAGUACAAUUGUUUUUGUAUUUUAUUUUAUAAAGAAACCUAUGCUGACUGAUAAUGAGCCAGAGCGGAUUCAUUGCAUUAAGAUUAUGAAUGUUUAUAGCAUUUUAAAUUUUUUAAUUUUUUUGUUUCUAUCAGGAUUGUUUGCCUAGUUAGCUAAAUGUGUGUCAGAGGCCAAUAUUUUGCAAAAUUAAGCUUGGUUGACUUUUACACAUUACAAGAAUAUAGCACUUUUAAAAGCAAUUGAACCUUUUAUGAAAAAAAUAAGGUAAUGCUGAUCAUACAAUCUUACUUUACAUGUUUCAUGUACCAUUAGAUGAUCGAUUUGUAGACCUUGGUUAAUAAUACUUUUUUGUACAAAAAUGAUAAAUAAGAGUUUAAAACAGGUACAUCUUUAUUUACAGUUUUUGCUUGUCAGUUUGCUAUAUUGCACAAAAUCAGUGUCUCUGUUUUAACACUUUGCUGCCAGACACAUUUGUGGAGUAUUGCAAAGGAUUCUAAGUUAAAAGUUCCAAUGUUUAUUGAAUAGGUUUACAAGAAUCAAGACUUGCUGCCUUUUUAGUGAUGUUCCAAACAGUAGUUUUUUUCUUUUCUUUUUAAAAAAAAAAAAUUAGCAUUUUGUGUAGAUUUGAUAUAAAUAUAACGUACAAAUGGCCAUAUGCAUAUACACACUCAGCCUAGCAAUAUGUGCAUGUGUAAUAUAUUUACAGGUACAUAUAUAUGUAUAUAAUCGGCUGUAUAUCAAAAUACAAAAUGCUCACUCCUCAAGUGCCACAAUAUUAUCACUGGGAAAACUGUAUUUUGGAUGGUCAUUGUGUACGUUAAAGAAUAUCUUACUACAUGGAAAGUCAGUAUCUUUUGAUAAGUUACCUAGCCAUGGAAGUGAUUAUGUGGUCACUCAUCCUAUGUAAACAUUUUCUGUAUAAGCUUCAGUGGUAUAGUCAGUCAAUGAAUGAAUGUUUUUAUCCUAGGUUUUCAAAAACACUCCUGCAAUAUUGUUCUUUUGGAUCAUCAUGCUGCUAAUGUAAUUUGGGAUAUAAUUCUCUCAUGGUGCUACAACCUCUUGUCACUUACAUAUGUAUCUUUACCCAUAGAAAAAGACUGUUUUAUUAUAGCAAUAGUUGUAUGAUAUAUUUUUAUACUGUGAUUUAGUUUGCCUCUAUUGAACUUUGUACAACACCACAGCGUAUUAAUAUGCACUUGCCAAUAAAGGAAAGGUCGCGGAUAUGCCAUUCAUUUUUUUUUUUAUUUUUUUUUUCCUAUAUCACACCCAGCUUUAGUUUGUCAUGUAAACAUACAAUUAAUGAAAAUGGGCAUAAUAUAGAGUGUGGAAUGAAGAUCACGUUGUAUAUUGAGAAGCCCUCUCCUGUCUACAUAACAUGAGAAAGUAUUCAAAAUAGAUGUGCUUCUGACUCGUGUUGUGUUUUUGUUUUUUACUUUUUUUUUUUCCUGAUUUUAGUGGGAAAUCCUAUUUGGACUCACAAAUACUAAACAAUAAAAAAUAUAAAAUAAAUAAAUUUAAAAAAAAAGUUUAGUUUAUAAUGGUUUCACAGUCAGAAUAGAAGAUAUUUGCAUUCCAGACUGAAUUUUGUGUAUCCUUCUUGCAUUUAAAGAAAAAAAAUUAUCAAGAGAUGGGAAGUUGUGUUGCUUAUUAUGUAAAUGUACUUACAAUGUAUUCACAAACUACUGUUGUAUUUGUAUAAAAUAUAGACAAAAGAUUACAUAUAUAUUUUUGUGUAUAAGCUAUGUAAAAUAGCAAUCACAUUAUGAAGCUGCGGCAAUUCUUCAUGUUAAGCAUUCACAUCCAAAGAGACAGACUAUUUAUUGUCCAGAUUUUCUGAAACUAAGAUACUUUUUUGCUGCUAUUUUAACAGUAGUGCUGCAGCUUCUCAUUGCCUACAGUGUUUGCUGUACAAAAUAUGUGAAAUCCACAAAAAUCAAUAAAAUUACAGAAUGGUUUUAGAUGACAUUCAACCAAUGGUUGCCAUUUUAAUAGACUGUUCUAUUUAUGCUGUGUUUGUUUUCUUUCUCGAUUUAACCACUGUAGGGUGUUAAACAUAUGAUGUUUAAAUACAUUUUGCAAAAGAUUGCAGCUUAAGUGAUCACAAGCCAUGAGGACACUUGGUAGAGAACACUUUUCUAAGAUUUAGAAUUUACAGUUCUUCUUAUCUAUUAUGAAACCAAUGCUUUAUUAAUUAUGUGAGCUCCGUUUCAACUAAGCAUAUCUCUAGUUAAAACGAGUAGCUAAGAUUAUUCUAUUUGUAACAUUUAUGAAUGCC